UACGAAGGGGGCUAGCGUUGCUCGGAAUCACUGGGCGUAAAGCGCACGUAGGCGGCUUCUUAAGUCAGGGGUGAAAUCCUGGAGCUCAACUCCAGAACUGCCUUUGAUACUGAGGAGCUUGAGUCCGGGAGAGGUGAGUGGAACUCCGAGUGUAGAGGUGAAAUUCGUAGAUAUUCGCAAGAACACCAGUGGCGAAGGCGGCUCACUGGCCCGGUACUGACGCUGAGGUGCGAAAGCGUGGGGAGCAAACAGG
rnacentral:rRNA from 1 species